UACGAAGGGGGCUAGCGUUGCUCGGAAUCACUGGGCGUAAAGGGUGCGUAGGCGGGUCUUUAAGUCAGGGGUGAAAUCCUGGAGCUCAACUCCAGAACUGCCUUUGAUACUGAGGAUCUUGAGUAUGGGAGAGGUGAGUGGAACUGCGAGUGUAGAGGUGAAAAUUCGUAGAUAUUCGCAAGAACACCAGUGGCGAAGGCGGCUCACUGGCCCAUUACUGACGCUGAGGCACGAAAGCGUGGGGAGCAAACAGGG
rnacentral:rRNA from 1 species